rnacentral:rRNA from 1 species
AUUGAACGCAGGCGGCAGGCCUAACACAUGCAAGUCGAACGGUAACAGGAAACAGCUUGCUGUUUCGCUGACGAGUGGCGGACGGGUGAGUAAUGUCUGGGAAACUGCCUGAUGGAGGGGGAUAACUACUGGAAACGGUAGCUAAUACCGCAUAACGUCGCAAGACCAAAGAGGGGGACCUUCGGGCCUCUUGCCAUCGGAUGUGCCCAGAUGGGAUUAGCUAGUAGGUGGGGUAACGGCUCACCUAGGCGACGAUCCCUAGCUGGUCUGAGAGGAUGACCAGCCACACUGGAACUGAGACACGGUCCAGACUCCUACGGGAGGCAGCAGUGGGGAAUAUUGCACAAUGGGCGCAAGCCUGAUGCAGCCAUGCCGCGUGUAUGAAGAAGGCCUUCGGGUUGUAAAGUACUUUCAGCGGGGAGGAAGGGAGUAAAGUUAAUACCUUUGCUCAUUGACGUUACCCGCAGAAGAAGCACCGGCUAACUCCGUGCCAGCCGCCGCCGCAG